rnacentral:lncRNA from 1 species
GGGCAAUGUCGUCGUAUUUGCUUCAGAAAGUGCUUCCAGUAGAAAGAAAGGAGCCUCAAAGAAACCACUCUCAAAGCAGGAGAAAGCUGUAAUCUGUAUCCCCACUCCCUGGUUGGUUAUUAUUUCUGGAUACCAGCUAUUACAAUUGCUUCUAAUCACUGGUUACUGCAGACAAAAUCCACCCUCCCCUUUUGCUUCUCUUCUGGAAGCAGUUUUGAAACACAGAAAAAAGCUGGUGUGCACCUCCUGUAUAGGGACUCUGAGAAAAAUGAAGGUGAAUCAACAAAAGAAAAGGCUCUGGAAACCAGAUUAUCUUAUCCUCUCAGAAGAAAGGUGAUAAAUCAAACUUAUUACAUUCCUCGA